rnacentral:misc_RNA from 1 species
GAUGAAGAACGCAGCGAAAUGCGAUAAGUAAUGUGAAUUGCAGAAUUCAGUGAAUCAUCGAAUCUUUGAACGCACAUUGCGCCCGCCAGUAUUCUAGCGGGCAUGCCUGUUCGAGCGUCAUUUCAACCAUCAAGCCCCCGGGCUUGUGUUGGGGACCUGCGGCUGCCGCAGGCCCUGAAAACCAGUGGCGGGCUCGCUAGUCACUCCGAGCGUAGUAGUUACAUCUCGCUCAGGGCGUGCUGCGGGUUCCGGCCGUUAAAAGCCUUUUACCCCAAGGUUGACCUCGGAUCAGGUAGGAAGACCCGCUGAACUUAAGCAUAUCAAUAAGCGGAGGA